rnacentral:rRNA from 1 species
UACGUAGGGGGCGAGCGUUGUCCGGAAUCAUUGGGCGUAAAGCGCGCGUAGGUGGCCUCAUAAGUCCGUUGUGAAAGUCAAAGGCUCAACCUUUGAAAGCCGAUGGAUACUGUGAGACUAGAGUACGGAAGAGGCGAGUGGAAUUCCUGGUGUAGCGGUGGAAUGCGCAGAUAUCAGGAGGAACACCAAUAGCGAAGGCAGCUCGCUGGGACGUUACUGACACUGAGGCGCGAAAGCGUGGGGAGCGAACAGG